rnacentral:rRNA from 1 species
GACGAACGCUGGCGGCGUGCCUAAUACAUGCAAGUAGGACGCAGUUGCGAACGGGUGAGUAACGCGUAGGUAACUGCCUAUUAGAGGGGGAUAACUAUUGGAAACGAUAGCUAAUACCGCAUACUAGUAGAUGGACCUGCGUUGUAUUAGGUAGUAGGUAGGGUAAUGGCCUACCUAGGCGGCGAUACAUAGCCGACCUGAGAGGGUGCACGGCCACACUGGGACUGAGAAACCGCCCAGACUCCUACGGGAGGCAGCAGUAGGGAAUCUUCGGCAAUGGGGGGAACCCUGACCGAGCAACGCCGCUGUAGUGAAGAAGGUUUUCGGAUCGUAAAGCUCUUUUGUUAAGGAAGCGUUACUUAACCAGAAAGGGACGGCUAACUACGUGCCAGCAGCCGCGGUAAUUC